CAGCGGCCUGGAGGCUCUCCCAAGCCGGCCCCGCCCCACCAGCCUGACCAAGACCCUAGCCUGCCUCCCGGCUCCUCCCCGGACCCAGCUCGCCCCUGCGGACUAAACACGCCCCCAAACAGAGGCCCGGCUCCUCCCCCCGAGUCAACCCCGCCCCUCUGCACUUCCUCCUGGAGGUCCUCCAGCUCUCGUUUCCCGGCCCGCCGCCCACAGCUCGCCAGGCCUCGUAGGCCUCGGUGCGCUGGGGAAAGCCGUCCGGGCCCGCUGCUGACGCCGUGGCCGCGGCCGGGCCAAGGUUCCGGGCGGACCCCGCCGACUCAGUGAGACUCCUCGAAAGGGCUGCCAGUCCUCAGCGUCUCUGUUACCUGUGCUGCGUGCUUUUUAGAAACGAAGGCGGCCUUCCCACCAGGGUUCCACCGAAGCACUUGUCAGGGUUUCUGGUGGCUUCCCGUGGCUCCUCCGCCCUCGGUGCCUGGCCUCUGGGACACGCCUUCUCCGGGUCUCCUGUGCUCCACCCCCAGCCCGCCGCCUCUUCCACCUCCUCUGGCUCUGUCCUGGGGCCCUGCCUGUGUGCACUCAACCACCCGGGGUCCCGUUGUUUGAAUUACUCUCUGGGUGUUCUCUGUGCCCACUACUCUUCACCUUUUCUAUUUCCACAAUAAAAAGAUGAAAAAAGUACCAUCCCUGUGCCGCCAGUGUACACGGAUUACUAUUGCAGCUCUCCUAAUAGCCCCAAACUGGAGACAGCGUAGAUGCCCUUCAGGCGGUGCUGGUCAAACAGACUGUGCGUCCACACUGAGGGAGCCCACUCAGCAAAAAGGAUGGGCGCUGGGCACACACGGCAGCUUGUGUGCAUCUCAAGGGAGUGUGCCGAGCGAACACAGACCCCGAAAAGCCAGACUGUGUGGUUCCAUCUAUGCACCUUGCUUGAAAUGACAAAUGAUGUGACUGGAGAUCAGAUCACCGUUGUCGGGAGUCACUAACAGAUGGGUCACUAACAGAUCAACGACUUGGGGCAGCUGUGAAAGGGCAACAGGAGGGCUCCAUGGGGCUGGAACGUUCUGGUUUUCGACUGAAUCAACACAAGGUCCUGGUUGUGAUUUGGGGUAUAUGUGUAUGGGUA